rnacentral:miRNA from 1 species
AAGAAUUUCUUUUUCUUCACAAUU